rnacentral:tRNA from 1 species
GUGGAUGUAGCUCAGCUAGUAGAGGGCUCGCCUAGCACACGUGAAGCCCUGGGUUCAAUCCCCAGCACCACA